GUUGUACAAGUUUACCAGUGUUGGUGUUGUCGGCGCCAACCAAUGUCCAUUUGGAGAUGAUUCACCUUCACAUACAUUGAAUUGCAAUGAUGUAGCAAAAUAAGAAGCAAACGUAGAGAUGAGCGGGGAACUAUCAUGUCAAGAUUUGAACCUUUCCGGGAGCGUAGAUUCUUGUUUGGAAUAAGCUGUUCUCGUUGAGGGUAGACCGGAUAUGAUCUGCUUCGUUCUGUUUGAGCCAUCUGCUGUCCUUCCUCUCUUUCUUCACCCUAUUGCUUCUGUUUCCUGGCUUCUCAGGAACAUGGAAAGGUCUCAGGAACUGGCUAAGGAAGCAUCAAGGGGAUUGCUCUGCAUUUAACCAGGGUGUGGUUGCAGAAGAUCACCAAGUUUGUAGCAGAUUUGAUGGUCGGG
rnacentral:lncRNA from 1 species